rnacentral:lncRNA from 1 species
CAGAUGUGUGUCACCACCCUCAGCUCUCACAGAUGCCUGCAGUGAUCUUUUUACCAUGUGAACGCAUGCUCUGAGAGUUGUACCAGUACUGAGAACAAAGGACAGGGGGAGCUCAACGGCCUACAGCAGCUCUGUCUGUGACAGGGAGAGCUGUUCCCAGCAGACACCAAAGAGAGAGAACUUUGGGAGCGCAGCAAGCAAGCCCCAUUCCCAGCCAGGCAUUCUG